rnacentral:rRNA from 1 species
CCCUGCAAUUCAUAAGCGGAGGAAAAGAAACUAACAAGGAUUCCCCUAGUAACGGCGAGUGAAGCGGGAAGAGCUCAAAUUUGUAAUCUGGCCCUUUCAGGGUCCGAGUUGUAAUCUCGAGAAGUGUUUUCCGCGCCGGACUGCAUACAAGUCUGUUGGAAUACAGCGUCAUAGUGGUGAGAGCCCCGUAACUGAUGCAGAUGCCCGGUGCUUUGUGAUACACUUUCGAAGAGUCGAGUUGUUUGGGAAUGCAGCUCAAAUUGGGUGGUAAAUUCCAUCUAAAGCUAAAUAUUGGCGAGAGACCGAUAGCGAACAAGUACCGUGAGGGAAAGAUGAAAAGCACUUUGGAAAGAGAGUUAACAGUACGUGAAAUUGUUGGAAGGGAAACGCUUGAAGUCAGACUUGCUAUUCGGAAUUCAGCCGCAAGGUGUACUUUUCGAUUUGCAGGCCAGCAUCAGUUUUUGGGGGUGGAAAAGGGUGGAGAGAAGGUAGCAACCUCGGUUGUGUUAUAGCUCUUUACUGGAUUCAUCUUUGGGGACUGAGGAUCGCAGUGCGCAAUUCAUUUUGCAAACCUUUCGAGGUUUUCGUACUUAGGAUGCUGGUGGAAUGGCUUUAAACGACCCGUCUUGAACCCGGACCA